rnacentral:ncRNA from 2 species
AGACGGAACUCUGGAGAGAAGCGCGAAAGCGUUCGCCGAAGGGAUAACAAUCUCAGGCAAAACAGACAGAGGGGGCUCA